GACUCCAUGAAGUCGGAAUCGCUAGUAAUCGUGAAUCAGAAUGUCACGGUGAAUACGUUCCCGGGCCUUGUACACACCGCCCGUCACACCAUGGGAGUGGGUUGCACCAGAAGUAGAUAGCUUAACCUUCGGGAGGGCGUUUACCACGGUGUGAUUCAUGACUGGGGUGAAGUCGUAACAAGGUAACCGUAGGGGAACCUGCGGUUGGAUCACCUCCUUACGAAG
rnacentral:rRNA from 1 species